rfam:Pelodiscus sinensis unplaced genomic scaffold scaffold7419, whole genome shotgun sequence.
GCCAAACUAGCUCAGUUGGGAGAAUGUUAGACUGAAGAUCUAAAGGUCCCUGGUUCAAUCCCAGGCUUUGGCA